GAUGAACGCUGGCGGCGUGCCUAAUACAUGCAAGUCGAGCGAAUGGAUUGAGAGCUUGCUCCUUUGACGUUAGCGGCGGACGGGUGAGUAACACGUGGGCAACCUACCCUAUAGUUUGGGAUAACUCCGGGAAACCGGGGCUAAUACCGAAUAAUCUCUUUUGCUUCAUGGUGAAAGACUGAAAGACGGUUUCGGCUGUCGCUAUAGGAUGGGCCCGCGGCGCAUUAGCUAGUUGGUGAGGUAACGGCUCACCAAGGCGACGAUGCGUAGCCAACCUGAGAGGGUGAUCGGCCACACUGGGACUGAGACACGGCCCAGACUCCUACGGGAGGCAGCAGUAGGGAAUCUUCCACAAUGGGCGAAAGCCUGAUGGAGCAACGCCGCGUGAGUGAAGAAGGUUUUCGGAUCGUAAAACUCUGUUGUAAGGGAAGAACAAGUACAGUAGUAACUGGCUGUACCUUGACGGUACCUUAUUAGAAAGCCACGGCUAACUACGUGCCAGCCGCCGCCGUAA
rnacentral:rRNA from 1 species